GCCGGGCGUGGUGGUGCACGCCUUUAAUCCCAGCACUCAGGAGGCAGAGGCAAGUGGAUUUCUGAGUUCGAGGCCAGCCUGGUCUACAGAGUGAGUUCCAGGACAGCCAGGGAUAUACAGAGACAGGUCUGGCUACAUGGCCUUGCCUGUCCUGAAACUCACUAUGUAGAUUAGGCUGGCCUUGAACUCAUAGAGAUCGCCUGCCUCUG
rnacentral:SRP_RNA from 1 species